rnacentral:rRNA from 1 species
UACGGAGGGAGCUAGCGUUGUUCGGAAUUACUGGGCGUAAAGCGCACGUAGGCGGCUUUGUAAGUUAGAGGUGAAAGCCCGGGGCUCAACUCCGGAACUGCCUUUAAAACUGCAUCGCUUGAAUCCAGGAGAGGUGAGUGGAAUUCCGAGUGUAGAGGUGAAAAUUCGUAGAUAUUCGGAAGAACACCAGUGCGAAGGCGGCUCACUGGACUGGUACUGACGCUGAGGUGCGAAAGCGUGGGGAGCAAACAGG